UACAGAGGUCUCAAGCGUUGUUCGGAUUCAUUGGGCGUAAAGGGUGCGUAGGCGGCGCGGUAAGUCGGGUGUGAAAUCUCGGAGCUUAACUCCGAAACUGCAUUCGAUACUGCCGUGCUUGAGGACUGGAGAGGAGACUGGAAUUUACGGUGUAGCGGUGAAAUGCGUAGAUAUCGUAAGGAACACCCAGGGGGAAACCAGCCGACUGGGCAAGUGCUGACGCUGAGGUGCGAGAGCGUGGGGAGCGAACCGG
rnacentral:rRNA from 1 species